UGGGGAAUAUUGCACAAUGGGCGCAAGCCUGAUGCAGCCAUGCCGCGUGUGUGAAGAAGGCCUUCGGGUUGUAAAGCACUUUCAGCGAGGAGGAAGGGUUCAGUGUUAAUAGCACUGUGCAUUGACGUUACUCGCAGAAGAAGCACCGGCUAACUCCGUGCCAGCAGCCGCGGUAAUACGGAGGGUGCAAGCGUUAAUCGGAAUUACUGGGCGUAAAGCGCACGCAGGCGGUUUGUUAAGUCAGAUGUGAAAUCCCCGCGCUUAACGUGGGAACUGCAUUUGAAACUGGCAAGCUAGAGUCUUGUAGAGG
rnacentral:rRNA from 1 species